rnacentral:rRNA from 1 species
UACGAAGGGGGCUAGCGUUGUUCGGAAUUACUGGGCGUAAAGCGCGCGCAGGCGGUUCUUCAAGUCAGAGGGGAAAGCCCAGAGCUCAACUCUGGAAUGGCCUUUGAGACUAGAGAACUAGGGUACGGGAGAGGUGAGUGGAAUUCCGAGUGUAGAGGUGAAAUUCGUAGAUAUCUGGAGGAACACCGGUGGCGAAGGCGGCAUCCUGGACCAACACUGACACUGAGGAGCGAAAGCCAGGGGAGCAAACGGG